UACGGAGGGAGCUAGCGUUGUUCGGAAUUACUGGGCGUAAAGCGCACGUAGGCGGCUUUGUAAGUUAGAGGUGAAAGCCUGGGGCUCAACUCCAGAAUUGCCUUUAAGACUGCAUCGCUUGAACACGGGAGAGGUGAGUGGAAUUCCGAGUGUAGAGGUGAAAUUCGUAGAUAUUCGGAAGAACACCAGUGGCGAAGGCGGCUCACUGGACCGUUGUUGACGCUGAGGUGCGAAAGCGUGGGGAGCAAACAGG
rnacentral:rRNA from 1 species